AGAGUUUGAUCCUGGCUCAGAUUGAACGCUGGCGGCAUGCCUUACACAUGCAAGUCGAACGGUAACAGGUCUUCGGAUGCUGACGAGUGGCGAACGGGUGAGUAAUACAUCGGAACGUGCCCAGACGUGGGGGAUAACGAGGCGAAAGCUUUGCUAAUACCGCAUACGAUCUAAGGAUGAAAGCAGGGGACCGCAAGGCCUUGCGCGUUUGGAGCGGCCGAUGGCAGAUUAGGUAGUUGGUGGGAUAAAAGCUUACCAAGCCGACGAUCUGUAGCUGGUCUGAGAGGACGACCAGCCACACUGGGACUGAGACACGGCCCAGACUCCUACGGGAGGCAGCAGUGGGGAAUUUUGGACAAUGGGCGAAAGCCUGAUCCAGCAAUGCCGCGUGCAGGAUGAAGGCCUUCGGGUUGUAAACUGCUUUUGUACGGAACGAAAAGGCUCUGGCUAAUACCUGGGGCACAUGACGGUACCGUAAGAAUAAGCACCGGCUAACUACGUGCCAGCAGCCGCGGUAAUACGUAGGGUGCGAGCGUUAAUCGGAAUUACUGGGCGUAAAGCGUGCGCAGG
rnacentral:rRNA from 1 species